CCUGAAUUUGUCCUGUUCCCCCUCCCCCCAUUUAUAACUUUUGAUUAUAUUGGGGCACUUGAAGCAGAUUCCCAGGUGACACCAAUGCUGUCAGGGUCCAGGGUCUUGAGGAGUAGUCCAGAGCAGACUUCCUAACCUGCCUAAGAGCGAACUUCCCAAUCAAACUUGCAUACUCUCAGGGAAACUGAUUUCUGUGUUAGAAAAACAAUCUAUUGAACAAAUGUGUGAAGAGGUGUUUUCAUGUAGAAGGCUCUUCAUCAUGUCUAUUUCGGGCAUCUUAACAAAGGGACUGGAAUCUUCCAGAUCCUAUGGGGCAGGUUUGCAAGGAGAGACACAGGAGUUGACCGGUUCUGCUGGGAGUUCACCUUGCAGGUUAGAUUUGUUAGGCAGUCUGUGCUUUUAGCACUUUUUUUCCUUUCCCCUAUCCUGGGGAUAUGGCUUCUCCAAAACACUUCAGGUGAUCAGGGUUAGGAUUAGGGUGAGGGUGGCUUUCCCAUAUGGAGACCUCUUCAGGAAGCCACUUCCUUUUGUACUUUUCCUGCAUGCACAUCAGAAUAUAGCACCCCAGGUUUGGGGCUUCAGAUAUAUUUGAACAACAUUAACUGAGCUUCUACAGCAAGCACUUUACGUGCCAGAUGUAGCAGAGGGUUCACUAUUGACUAAGAUGGAUCCCUGCCCUCCAAAAGUUUAUAUAUAUAUAUAUAUAUAUAUAUAUAUAUAUAUAUAUAUAUAUAUAUAAAUUUAUAAAUAUUAGACAUUUUGUGCUCACAGUUGUAGAGGCUAGAAUUUGAUGUCUGGUGAAGGCUCAGUCUCUGCUUCAUAAAUGGCACUUUUGCUGCAUCCUCACAUGGUGGAGGGGUGAGAGGGGCAAAGAAGGUCCAACACAUGGCAGAAGAGAAGGAAGGGAUGAAUCUGUUCCUUGUAGCCCUUUCAUAAGGGCUAAACCCAUCCAGGAGAGUGGAGCCCUCACAGCCCAGUGACUUUACAAGGCCUCAUCUUUUAGUACUGUCACUUUGGGAUUAAAGUUCCAAAAUAUGAAUUUUUAUAUCCAAAACAUAGCAGACAUCAAAGUGAGAGAGACAAAAAGCAUCAUGUUUCUUUGAAGAAGAGAAGAACUCCCUUCUCCUUUGCCUUUUCC
rnacentral:lncRNA from 1 species